rnacentral:rRNA from 1 species
AGCGAACGCUGGCGGCAGGCCUAACACAUGCAAGUCGAACGAACUCUUCGGAGUUAGUGGCGGACGGGUGAGUAACACGUGGGAACGUGCCUUUUGGUUCGGAAUAACUCAGGGAAACUUGUGCUAAUACCGAAUGUGCCCUUCGGGGGAAAGAUUUAUCGCCAUUAGAGCGGCCCGCGUCUGAUUAGCUAGUUGGUGAGGUAACGGCUCACCAAGGCGACGAUCAGUAGCUGGUCUGAGAGGAUGACCAGCCACACUGGGACUGAGACACGGCCCAGACUCCUACGGGAGGCAGCAGUGGGGAAUCUUGCGCAAUGGGCGAAAGCCUGACGCAGCCAUGCCGCGGGAAUGAUGAAGGUCUUAGGAUUGUAAAAUUCUUUCACCGGGGACGAUAAUGACGGUACCCGGAGAAGAAGCCCCGGCUAACUUCGUG